CCUACGGGUCGCAGCAGUGGGGAAUAUUGGACAAUGGGGGCAACCCUGAUCCAGCCAUGCCGCGUGUGUGAAGAAGGCCCUCGGGUUGUAAAGCACUUUCAGCGAGGAAGAACGCCUAUCGGUUAAUACCCGGUAGGAAAGACAUCACUCGCAGAAGAAGCACCGGCUAACUCCGUGCCAGCAGCCGCGGUAAUACGGAGGGUGCAAGCGUUAAUCGGAAUUACUGGGCGUAAAGCGCGCGUAGGUGGCUUGAUAAGCCGGUUGUGAAAGCCCCGGGCUCAACCUGGGAACGGCAUCCGGAACUGUCAGGCUAGAGUGCAGGAGAGGAAGGUAGAAUUCCCGGUGUAGCGGUGAAAUGCGUAGAGAUCGGGAGGAAUACCAGUGGCGAAGGCGGCCUUCUGGACUGACACUGACACUGAGGUGCGAAAGCGUGGGUAGCAAACAGGAUUAGAUACCCCUGUAGUC
rnacentral:rRNA from 1 species